GAAUUGUUGUUUUUAUGGGACAACCAGUCCGAUUAUACAGCACGCACUUGUUUUACUGCCCCGUGCUCUCUGUGCCCUCUCCCCAGGUGCAGGAGUUAGAGAUGUUCACCAUGGUUCUAUUUCCUGUCCAACCCAAAAGCAGUGAGGGACUAGAGGCCUGCUCACGGAUGCCUCUCUGCUGUGUCAACGAGUAAUCCACCAGCAGGACUCCUCUGAUCUUUGUUCGGUCUCCUGGGGUGGACCCCACCUGGGCCCUGCUGCAGCUGGCUGAAGCCUCUGGCAUGAGCAAGCACUUCCACACUCUCUCUCUGGGCCAGGAACAGACCCCCAUCACCAAGAGCAUGAACGAAAAGGUUUGUGUAUAUUACACAUCACUCCAGCACGGAGUUGUAAAUACUAAGACCACAUCUAGGGAGUUGGAAGGUCUCCACAUCUAGGAUCCACAUCCUGGAUGCCUGGGUUGGACAAGAUGAUGGAUCAGCUACUGUAAAGGUGCAAUA